GCCUGGGUGGCUCAGUCGGUUAAGCUUCUGACUUCAGCUCAGGUCACACAGUUUGUGAGUUCGAGUCCCGUGUCGGGCU
rnacentral:tRNA from 1 species